rnacentral:rRNA from 1 species
AGAACGAACGCUGGCGGCAGGCCUAACACAUGCAAGUCGAACGCCCGUAGCAAUACGGGAGUGGCAGACGGGUGAGUAACGCGUGGGAACGUACCUUUCGGUUCGGAAUAACCCGGGGAAACUCGGGCUAAUACCGGAUACGUCCGCAAGGAGAAAGAUUUAUCGCCGAAAGAUCGGCCCGCGUCGGAUUAGCUAGUUGGCGGGGUAAUGGCCCACCAAGGCGACGAUCCGUAGCUGGUCUGAGAGGAUGAUCAGCCACACUGGGACUGAGACACGGCCCAGACUCCUACGGGAGGCAGCAGUGGGGAAUAUUGGACAAUGGGCGAAAGCCUGAUCCAGCCAUGCCGCGUGAGUGAAGAAGGCCUUAGGGUUGUAAAGCUCUUUCAGCGGGAAGAUAAUGACGGUACCCGCAGAAGAAGUCCCGGCUAACUUCGUACCAGCAGCCGC